UGUCCCGGGAGAGAACUCUAAGCCCAGGCUCCCUACUGUUUCUUUGGGAGGCAGGGUAAUCUGAGCUCAGGUAAGUCUCGAGAGCUCCCUGAAUUCGAUCGUCCGGCUUGUUCCUUGAUUUUUAGGAGUUUCAUGGUGGAAUGAACCACCCCAGCCGGCACUCAAACCAGCAACCUUUUUCUUGUGAGGAAAGAGGUGAAGGAGGAGGUACGUCCACCGACGUACACGAUGAGCUAACUGGACAAACUGGUUUCAGCGGGAAAGCUCUUCACAUGGAGAUAAGAGCGGGUUUCCCUGGACGGCGGCCGAUCGGGGAGAUAAACAGACUGAGAGCAAAUGGGAUCUGAAGAGAAGUUGUUGAGGAGGCUUUUGUGUGGGAGCGCAGAUGGGAAAGAGGUGUCAAAAGUGGCUCUUCACGGCAGACGCAGAUCAGAGGCUCAGGAAUGAAGGCUGGCCUUUACUGCCGUUCUUCUUUUACAGAUAGUCAACUGCUCAUCUCGACAGCUGUCUGUCAGACCAUCACUGAGGUUAAUGAGCACAGGAGCCGAGCUGAAACCUUUUCCCCAGCCGUCCCUCGUUCACCCGACGCUUUCAUCAUCUUGACGUGAGCGAGAGAGCCAUUAGGACAGUGACAGAUGAUUAUGCCGGCCAAUCGCCAACUGAGAUUGAUAGAUGUGCUGCUCGCGCAUGUGUGUGUGUGUGGACGCUCAUGGAUUCAUUCUUAAGGAGCCUGUGUGUUGCAGCCGUCCUCAAGAAGCAGUGCAAUUACGUCUGAAAUGACACGAGGACGCCGAGCAGCACCUGAAACUCGCCAGAGGAGAAAUAGGAGCGCCAUAAAUUUUCAUGAACAUCAUAACAAAGUCGUUUGGUCCCGCCUUAAAGAAGAUUACACGGCAUGUGGACGGACGCUGCUGUCUGGAGUGUGUCCUCAAAGUCUGUUUGGCAGGUUCAGACUCUCCUUUACAGAAGAUAAAGGAUCGAACAUUGCACAGGAUCCAUCUGUGGGUCACAGACUCGUUGGUCAAUUUCAUGCAGGUUUGUGAGAAAGGUGAGGGGGAAGUCAAAGUCUACCAUCAGCCUUCAUCAGUGCUGCCUUGAGGAAGGAAGAGAAAUGCCUGCUUUCUCUCUUUUCUCUCUUUUGACCCGCUCGAGAGAGGCAGGGAAGCAGUGAGGGAAGAGGAACAGAGAGGCAAGACCAGAUCUGGAAGAAUACCUUUGCAAUAGCAGAUCUGAAAGUCUGAACUCCAGCUGAAUACCAAUGAGGUGCUGUGAAGACAGGCAGAGUUUCUCUUUCUCUCUCUCUCUCUGUCACACACACUUGCAGUACAUUUCACGUUAGUGUGCUGAUCGCCACGUUGGGGUUUAGUUUUCAAUAACGAGUCAUUAUUACACCACUGCAAAUAAAUAAAUAAAUGGACAUGAAAUAUUGAUUGGAUUUUAAAUGAGUUUAUUAUGUGAGAAGAAAAGCGAGCGCAGAGUGACACGACAGACUUGAAGCUAGCGCAGCUGUGCUGGAAAUCAUUUUCCUGGAAUGAUGCUCUAUUAUACCUGUUUAGCAUCAGUAUGCAAAGAGCUUUUAAUAAUCGUUCAGGUCCAAAAUAUCGACGUGGCUCGGCGCAUCAAUGCUGUUGGACAAUUUAAUAAUUACAUCAACAUAAUUAUUACAGUGUUUAACAUUUACAGUUGAAGUCAGAAUUAUUAGCC